GAGGGGCCACCGGCCUUGGGGCCACCUUGGGGACAUUUUGGGGCACUCCCAGGGCAUUUGGGGACACUUUGGAGAGGCUUCCAGGGGGUGGCACCUGUCCUUGGGCCACUGCUGGCCCUGGAGAGUGGCCCCAGCCUGGCCAAGGACAGGGACACGAGCCCGGGGCAAUUUGAGGGACGCUUUGGGGGUCUCCGGGCUGGGUUUGGGGACAUUCUGGGGGUCCCUGAGGUGGUUUUGGGGACACUUUGGGGGUUCUCCGAGGCGGUUUUGGGGUCUCCAAGGCGGUUUUGGGGUCUCCAGGGUGAUUUUGGGGUCUCCAGGGUGGUUUUGGGGACACUUUGGGGUCCCGAAGGCGGUUUUGGGGACACUUUGGGGGUUCUCCGAGGCGGUUUUGGGGUCUCCAAGGCGGUUUUGGGGUCUCCAGGGUGGUUUUGGGGACACUUUGGGGUCCCCAAGGCAGUUUUGGGAUCUCCAAGGCGUUUUUGAGGACACUUUGGGAUCUCCAGGGCAGUUUUGGGGUCUCCAAGGCGUUUUUGAGGACACUUUGGGGUCCCUAAGGCAGUUUUGGGGUCCCUACGGUGGUUUUGGGGUCUCCAAGGCAGUUUUGGGGACACUUUGAGGUCCCUAAGGCAGUUCUGGGGUCUCCAAGGCAUUUUCGGGGUCUCCAAGGCAGUUUUGGGGUCUCCAGGGCACUUUUGGGGUCUCCAGGGCACUUUUGGGGUCCUUAAGGUGGUUCUGGGGUUUCCAAGGUGUUUUUGAGGACACUCUGGGGUCUCCAAGGCAGUUUUGGGAUCUCCAAGGCGGUUUUGGGGUCUCCAGGGCAGUUUUGGGGUCUCCAAGGCAGUUUUGGGGUCUCCAAGGCAUUUUUGGGGUCCCUAAGGCAGUUUUGGGGUCUCCAAGGCAGUUUUGGGGUCUCCAAGGCAUUUUUGGGGUCCCUAAGGCGGUUUUGGGGUCCCCCAGGUGCUGAUCAGCAUGGUGUACCUGCCCGAGGCCAUGCCCGCGUCCUUCCAGGCAGUUUUGGGGUCUCCAAGGCAGUUUUGGGGUCUCCAGGGUGGUUUUGGGGUCUCCAAGGUGUCUUUGGGUUCUCUAAGGCGGUUUUUGGGUCUCCAAGGUGUUUUUGGGGACACUUUGGGGUCCCUAAGGCAGUUUUGGGGUCUCCAAGGCGUUUUUGGGGUCUCCAAGGCAGUUUUGGGAUCUCCAAGGCAUUUUUGAGGACGUUUUGGGGUCCCUAAGGCAGUUCUGGGGUCUCCAAGGUGUUUUUGGGGUCUCCAAGGUGUCUUUGGGGUCCCUAAGGCAGUUCUGGGGUCUCCAAGGCAUUUUCGGGGUCUCCAAGGCAGUUUUGGGGUCUCCAGGGCACUUUUGGGGUCUCCAGGGCACUUUUGGGGUCCUUAAGGUGGUUCUGGGGUUUCCAAGGUGUUUUUGAGGACACUCUGGGGUCUCCAAGGCAGUUUUGGGAUCUCCAAGGCGGUUUUGGGGUCUCCAGGGCAGUUUUGGGGUCUCCAAGGCAUUUUUGGGGUCUCCAAGGCAUUUUUGGGGUCCCUAAGGCGGUUUUGGGGUC